GACGAACGCUGGCGGCGUGCUUAACACAUGCAAGUCGAACGGAAAGGCCCUGCUUUUGUCGGGUGCUCGCGUCGCGAACGGGUGAGUAACACGUGAGUAACCUGCCCUGUACUUUGUGAUAACUUCAGAAAACUGGUGCUAAUACCGGAUAGGAGCUCCUGCUGCAUGGGGGGGGUUGGAAAGUUUCGGCGGUUGGGGAUGUACUCGGGGGUUAUCAGCUUGUUGGUGGGGUAGUGGCUUACCAAGGCAUUGACGGCUAGCCGGCCUGAGAGGGUGAACGGGCUCAUUGGGACUGAGGUAGGGAGCAGAGUCCUACGGGAGACAGCGGUGGGAAAUAUUGCACAGUGGGCGGAAGCCUGAGGAAGAAAUCCCGCGAGCGGGAUGAAGGCCUUCGGGUGGUAAACCGCUUUCGCCUGUGACGAAGCGGGAGUGACGGUAAUGGGUAAAUAAGCACCGGCUAACUACGUG
rnacentral:rRNA from 1 species